rnacentral:rRNA from 1 species
UACGGAGGUUGCAAGCGUUAUCCGGAUUUAUUGGGUUUAAAGGGUGCGUAGGCGGGAUAUUAAGUCAGUGGUGAAAGCCUGUAGCUCAACUACAGAAUUGCCAUUGAUACUGAUAUUCUUGAGUGUAUUUGAGGUGGGCGGAAUGUGUAAUGUAGCGGUGAAAUGCUUAGAUAUUACACAGAACACCAAUUGCGUAGGCAGCUCACUAAACUACUACUGACGCUGAGGCACGAAAGCGUGGGGAGCAAACAGG